CCUACGGGAGGCAGCAGUGAGGAAUAUUGCACAAUGGAGGCAAGCCUGAUGCAGCGAAGCAGCGUGCGCGAUGGCGGCCUUCGGGAUUUAAAACUCUUUCAGCAGGGAAGAAAAUGACGGCACCUGACCAAGAAGCCCUGGCUAAAUACGUGACAGCAGCCGCGUAAAUACGUAUGGGGCAAGCGUUAUCCGGAUUUACUGGGUGUAAAGGGAGCGUAGGCGGGAGGGCAAGGCAGCUGUGAAAGCCCGGGGCUCAACCGCGGGAUUGCAGUGGGAACUGCCCUGCUUGAGUGCCUGAGGGGCAGGCGGAAUUCCUGGUGUAGCGGUGAAAUGCGUAGAUAUUAUGAGGAACACCAGUGGCGAAGGC
rnacentral:rRNA from 1 species